rnacentral:rRNA from 1 species
CAGUAGCCGCGGUAAUACGUAGGGUGCAAGCGUUAAUCGGAAUUACUGGGCGUAAAGCGUGCGCAGGCGGUUCGCUAAGACAGAUGUGAAAUCCCCGGGCUUAACCUGGGAACUGCAUUUGUGACUGGCGGGCUAGAGUAUGGCAGAGGGGGGUAGAAUUCCACGUGUAGCAGUGAAAUGCGUAGAGAUGUGGAGGAAUACCGAUGGCGAAGGCAGCCCCCUGGGCCAAUACUGACGCUCAUGCACGAAAGCGUGGGGAACAAACAGGAUUAGAUACCCCGGUAGUCCCUGUCUCUUAUAC